UCUCUCUCUCUCUCUCUCUCUCUCUCUCUCUCUCUCUCCCUCUCUCUACUUCUCUCUAUCUUCCUUUCCCUCUCCCUCUCCCGCUCCCUCUUCUUCUUCCACUCCCACUCCCACUCUCUUGCUCCAUUUCUGUUUGUCUUUCUUUGCCUCUACGUUCCACCAACGUUUCAAUACGUUUCAUCUUAUCUUUCGAAGAAGAAUUUUUCUUGUAGAACUACGGUAUUUAAAAUCUCAAACUUAUUCGACUUCAUAUUACGAUAUUUAAGGUUUUUCAAUGCGUAUAAUAGUAAAGAUUCAUUUUCUUUUCGUUCUUUUGAUCAACUGCGUGUGAGUGAAAUAGAGGUUAGAAUAAUAUGCUUAAGGAAGAGCAGAUAUAUUUUUAAAGGGAACUACUUUUAUCCUGCUAUUUGUUCACUAUUGUUUAGAGUUUGUAAUUGCGUAUAUACAUACACAUAUUUGCGAUCACAGAUAUACAAUACGUAAAAGUAUUAGUUUUAAUACGUUCAUCUUAUCUUUCGACGGAGAAUUUUUCUUAUAGAACAACGAUAUUUAAAAUCUCAAACUUAUUCAACUUAAUAUUACGAUAUUUAAGGUUUUUCGAUGCCCAUAAAAGUAAAGAUUUAUUUUCUUUUCGUUCUUUCGAUCGAGUGCGUAUGUGAGUGAAAUAGAGGUUAGAAUAAUAUGCUUAAGGAACAGCAGUGUAUUUUUAAAGGGGACUACUUUUAUCCUGCUAUUUGUUCGCUAUUGUUUAGAAUUCGUAAUUGCGUAUACAUACACAUAUUUGAAUCAACAGAUAUACAAUACCUAAAAGUACUAGGUAGUUCAACUGUACUGCGAAAUAACAAAUGAAAAUCUACAAAAUGAUUUCUCUUUGUUAAAAUUAAAAUUAAAUGGUAAUUAACAUUGAACUGUAAUAUUCCUCGAUCGAUUAAAACUAUUUUAAAAUGUAUUUUCAAAGAUGUAACAUAAAAAAAGAAGAAAUAGAUCAAUUUUCUGAGAAAAUAUAAAAUUCUAUCAAAAUAGUACUCUUUCGUAAUUGAAUAUGAAGUUAGUUUAUUGAAGGUUAUUAAAGAUGAGUAAAAAGAAUUAUAUAAAUUACGAAGAUAGACUAAAGUUACUUCUUGCUAUUAUGACUGAAAAUUAUCAUGAUGCUAUGGAAGUUGGAUCUUCAGGUAAGAUUUAUUCAUAUACACAUAACCUGUAAGUUUCGUAACUUAUUAAAAGAUAAUGGAUGAUGAUCAUUACCAAUAAUUAUAUUGAAAACAUAUUAUCUAAUAAACUCGAAAUACUUUUUUCUUUGCUUAGUUUUAAGACAAAACCCGAAUGACCUAAGCAUUCUGAAAAUCUUAUCUGCCGUUAAAGAUAAAAUCGCAAUAAACAGUCUGGCGGAGUCUGUCGCCAGUGAUUCAGAUGAAAACAUCCAUGAUGCAGAAAAUAUGCAAAUAAAUUGCGACACGAACGAUCUUGAUUCCGUUAUGGAUGAUGAAAAGGAGGAGAACGAUUUCGUCUCUAUAGAUACGAACAAGUAUUAUCAGAGUACAGUACCAACUAAAAAUUUGUCCGAUUAUAUCAAGAAAUAUCUUCUAUCUGGUACCGGUAAAGAGGAGAAACAAGGCAGCUUUGUCUUCAAAGAAAAAAUGUAUCGGGUAAUACCCAUGAAAAUGAACGGGAACUUGAUUUAAACAUCAAAGUACUAUUUUUGGCUCUUUCCUUAUGCUUCUUAGGAAAUUUACCGUAACAUCGAUACUCACCUUUGUACCACGACGUUGUAUAAUAUUCUUCCUAGACAUAUGCGCGUUAUCAUAAUUGACUAUCUUUAAUUAGAUAUGUUUUAUUAAUAAAAAAAAAAGGAAAAAAUGGAAAACAAUUAUCUGUUAAAGAGUUUUAACAAGGUAAAAAUGAAAAGUGGCGUUAUAGACAUCGUUCAAUGUACAUUACGGUUCUUUUUUUCUUUUUAAUUUUUUUUUUAUAUAGAUAAUAAUGUUUACGAAUUCCACGAUUGAACCGGACGAAAUCAUAAGAAUGAAAUCUAUUUAUGAUAUGUAUAUCAUAUGUGUGUGUGUGUGUAUGUGUAUAUAUAUAUAUGUUUGUAAAUAUAUGUACAUAUAUAUUUUUAUUGAUGCUACGAACUUUGUGCACAAUUGAUAUUGUUCCAUUCAAUUGUGUGACUUCGCUGUUUGUUCUCCAUCAACUUGAACGGUUUGUUCUCUUUCUUUUUUUAUUCUUUUUUAAUAUAUACACUAGGGAAUAAAGGGCAAUAUUUUAUGCAAAUUCUUAUAAUUUCAUUGGAUCAACGAACUUGGAACGAUUCUAGACAGAACGACUGACAUAUCUCGUUUUCGUUAUUGAUUACGUUUAUCGAUCGUUCUUAUCGUAUCAUACUCUAUAUAUAUAUGUAAGUAUGUUUGUACAAUGAACGAUGUAUACAAAGCUUUAACUGAUAAGUAUAUCAAAAUCAAAAGAAACAAAAAGAAAAAGAAAUAUGGAAAAAGAAAAAACUCUUUUCGUCGAUUCGUCUUCGAUAUACAUAGUACACGUUAGAGCGUUUUUCGAUUAAUAGAUGUACGCUAGAACGCUUACGUAUCUAUUAUAUUACAACGUGAUACAUAUUUCUAGUAACAAAAUAUAAAUUCACUUAUUUAUAUAAUGACGUUAAACAUACAAACACACUCUCGUUCGCACCAUACUCGUAGGAGUUAAUCAAGAGUGUGUCUGUAAGUGUAUUCGCGCGUUUGUGGUACUUAUUAUCUACUUGGUAUUAAAUUACAAAAAUUACAAUCUCGUUUCGUAGUCUCUUUGUUUCUUUUUUCUUUUUAUCUCGUGCAUUGUUACGCGCGCGAUUUGUUUCGAACCUCGCACGUAUAAUAUAUAUAUAUAUAUAUAUAUAUAUAUAUAUGUAUGUAUGUAUAAUUAUAUAUUAUAUUACCGACCAGAACCGUGAAAAAAAAUUAGGUCUUCAAUCGGUCUCGUAACGCGAGAUUAAUGAUCAAUCGAUGGUUUUUGUGCUGAAACAACGAUUGUUUUAUCGAUUGUCAUUUCAGAACUGAAUUAUUUCACUUUUUUAUAUCGAUUAAUGGGUACCCAGGUUGCGUGUCGUAGACACUCGUUUCAUCCAAAUGAGUCACGUAAUCCGAAGAAAGUAGAAUCGUGACCUUUCUUCUGUCAUUGAAGACUACGGAUACCAUAGGAUCUUGCGAGACCGUCGUAGAUGAUUGUUCUUCUCUUUUUUCCUGUUUUUGUUUUGUUUUGUUUACUUAUAUAGGGAGGUAAUAAAUAAUGCGACCCAUAUCGACUGAGUAACUUCUCCCCUCGAAAGUUCUCCGAGAUUCUCCUUUUGUAGAUACUUGGGUUUUUCUUAAACUUCAUUCUUUUUCUUUCUUUCUUUUUCUCUUUCUCUCUCUUUCUCUAUCUUUUUCUUUCUCACUCUCUCUCUUUUUCUCUUUCUUUCUCUCUCACCGUGGGACAGGGACGACGACUCACUGACCUUCGCUGUCACUAUCACUCUUGUCUGGAAAAUAAACGUUCCUUCGUCACUAACGUAAACAUGGCAAAUAUCUCUCGAUCGGCCGAGCUACAUUGCGUAGUAGAUUUUCAAGCUUCGAUGCGGUAGGAUGAGAGAAAUGAUCCUUUUUCUAGUAAUAAAAACGUCGCAAUAUCUCGGCUUUUUAACGCUAAUUAUUAGUGACAAAAGUAAAGUGGUCGAUCGCCCGUUUUUUUUAUUAUUUAUAUAUAUAUAUAUAUAUUUAUGCUGACCAACGAACCCCUGAUGUCCUUUUAUUUCAAAUUUGGUUCAAUGUGUAUCUGCAUUCAAACUUGUACCUUUCUUCCCUGGAUACGCGUGACGCUUCAGCCUAUCGUACAGAUCGUCCUUGGUGCCGUAUAUACUCGCGUUUGAACGAGCAAGACUGUUCAUCUUUCCUCCAUUGUGUAGACUUUCUGCAAGUAAACAACAAAGACCUUGGAAAUGUAUUCACUCGAAUGAUUUGUUGUUUCGACCUUCAUAGCCGUCUUCCUCGUCGUCAUAGUAAUGAGCGUAUGUGCUGUGAUGAGACGGUGCUAUGGAUUCGGCGUAAGGCGUAGGAGCUCCAUAAUAGAAGUUUACUUGAGAACCAUUUUGAUCGGUCGCUGGAGUGAGCAUUUUCUUAGGCUCCUUUUUACGAGAUGCCCUAUAAAAGGAUCUCUUACUAGGAGGACAACAAAUAUUAUAAGAAUAACACCUCCUGCGAUACCACCAGUGAUAUAGAAGAACUCGGACUUCUCAGUACAAUGUUUCCCUGUGAAACUGCCGCUACACCUGCAAGAUGGUUGUCCUCUGGAAUCCUUCAGACAUACACCCUCGUUGUCGCAAUAACCCAUGCAAACGUCCGUACACUCCGUUCCAGUACCGUUAUAUCCUGGUUUACAUUCGCAUUUGAAGUCACUUGUCUCUGGUAUAAGUAAACAAUAGGCAUUUGCGUCGCAGUGCAUUUCUUCGCCGCUUGUCUCGCAUGGAUUGGUGCAAUCGGAUUUGCUGGUCUGUAAGAACAAACGUUAAACGUUAAGGCGACCGUUCGUUGGACAAGGUUAAACUCAUCUCACGGGUAAGCGUGCCUCAAGCUAACCUGCCAUUAGUGACAAUUAAUUACAAUUAUCCUACGUGUAAUUAGAAACUCGAUGACAUUCUGAAAUUUGUAUAAAUUUAUAGUUAUAGAAUACAUAUGUACGUGUUCAUAUUUUCCUAUUAUGUAUUAAAAAUAACGCGAUAUCUUGGUGCAGAUUUGCCUAUUACUAAAUGGCAAAAGGGAAGGAAAAAAGUGGAACUAGCUAUAAUAUCAUCUAUAUCACCUAUUAAGAAAACCUUUUCAGAAUUGAUCGAUUUAUAGAAACCAUAAUAUUACAAUAUGGAAUAAAACAUAUUUUUUUCUGUGAUCAUUUGUUAUCAUGCAAUCAUAUUAUAAAUGUUAUUGUAAGAUAAUAUUAUAAAUUAGCUGUUAAUCAAAUAUGUCUGUUACAAAAUAGACGAUCUUAUAAUUAUUAUGUAGGUAGAUUACGUAACGUUAUAGAAAUUAAUUCAUCUAAUAUCGACCUUGGAUUACAUAAAAGUCAUUUGUUAGAGGUAUCGGGUUAUAUCAUUAUUAUA